CCUACGGGGGGCAGCAGUGGGGAAUAUUGCACAAUGGGGGAAACCCUGAUGCAGCGACGCCUCGUGAGUGAAGAAGUAAUUCGUUAUGUAAAGCACUAUCAGCAGGGAAGAAAAUGACGGUACCUGAGAAAGAAGCGACGGCUAACUACGUGCCAGCAGCCGCGGUAAUACGUAGGGGGCAAGCGUUAGCCGGAUUUACGGGGUGUAAAGGGAGCGUAGACGGCAGUGCAAGUCUGGAGUGAAAGGCGGGGGCUCAACCCCCGGACUGCUCUGGAAACUGUACGGCUGGAGUGCAGGAGAGGUAAGUAGAAUUCCUGGUGUAGCGGUGAAAUGCGUAGAGAUUAGGAGGAACACCAGUGGCGAAGGCGGCUUACUGGACAGUAACUGACGUUGAGGCUCGAAAGCGUGGGGAGCAAACAGGAUUAGAUACCCUGGUAGUC
rnacentral:rRNA from 1 species